rnacentral:pre_miRNA from 1 species
CAAAUACUCCCUCCGUUCGAAAUUACUUGUCUCGAAAAUUGAUGUAUCUAGAACUAAAAUACGUCUAGAUACAUCCAUUUUCACGACAAGUAAUUCCAAACGGAGGGAGUACGUA